GACGAACGCUGGCGGCGUGCUUAACACAUGCAAGUCGAACGGAAAGGCCCUGCUUUUGUGGGGUGCUCGAGUGGCGAACGGGUGAGUAACACGUGAGUAACCUGCCCUUGACUUUGGGAUAACUUCAGGAAACUGGGGCUAAUACCGGAUAGGAGCUCCUGCUGCAUGGUGGGGGUUGGAAAGUUUCGGCGGUUGGGGAUGGACUCGCGGCUUAUCAGCUUGUUGGUGGGGUAGCGGCUUACCAAGGCUUUGACGGGUAGCCGGCCUGAGAGGGUGACCGGCGACAUUGGGACUGAGAUACGGCCCAGACUCCUACGGGAGGCAGCAGUGGGGAAUAUUGCACAAUGGGCGGAAGCCUGAUGAAGCAACGCCGCGUGCGGGAUGACGGCCUUCGGGUUGUAAACCGCUUUCGCCUGUGACGAAGCGUGAGUGACGGUAAUGGGUAAAGAAGCACCGGCUAACUACGUG
rnacentral:rRNA from 1 species